UUUGAAAUCCGGCCCUCUCGGGGCCCGAGUUGUAAUCUGCAGAUGGGUCUUCCGGUUAGGCGCACGCCCGAGUUCCCUGGAAUGGGACGCCGCAGAGGGUGAGAGCCCCGUACUGGCGGCGCGCCGAGCCACCACGAUGCCCAUUCGACGAGUCGAGUAGUUUGGAAAUGCUGCUCCAAUCGCGGGGUAAAUCUCCCGUAAGGCUAAAUAUCGGCCGGAGACCGAUAGCGAACAAGUAGCGUGAGCGAAAGAUGAAAAGAGCCUUGGAUAAGGGCGUCAAAAAGCAUGUGAAAUUGCUAUGGGGGAAGCGCUCGUCGCCAGACUCGGCGGCGGCCGGUUACCCGGCGUUCUCGCCGGCGCACUCGGACCGCCGCCGGGCCAGUACCGGCUGGCCGCCCGGCUCACUGCCGCGGGGAACGUGACUCCCUCCGGGGAGUGUUAUAGCCCCGCGGCGACGCCGGCCGGCCGGCCGAGGACCGCGCGCAAGCGAGGGUACUGGCAUAAUGGCGCCCAGCGACCCGUCUUGAAACACGGACCAAGGAGUUGACCUGCCCUGCGAGUGUACGGGUGCAAAGCCCCUGCGCGCAGUGAAAGCGAACGCUGGUGGGAGCCUUCGGGCGCACCAUCGACCGAUCCUGAAGUUCGCGGAUGGAUUUGAGUAGGAGCGGGGCGGGUCUGACCCGAAAGAAGGUGAACUAUGCAUGAAUAGGGUGAAGCCAGAGGAAACUCUGGUGGAGGCUCGCAGCGGUUCUGACGUGCAAAUCGAUCGUCAAAUUUGUGCAUGGGGGCGAAAGACUAAUCGAACCUUCUAGUAGCUGGGUCCUGCCGAAGUUU
rnacentral:rRNA from 1 species